GAUGAACGCUGGCGGCAGGCCUAACACAUGCAAGUCGAGCGAGCGGCGGACGGGUGAGUAAGGUCUGGGAAACUGCCUGAUGGAGGGGGAUAAGGACGGGAAACGGUAGCUAAUACAGCAUAACAUCAGAUGUGGACAGAUGGGAUUAGCUAGUCGGUGGGGUAACGGCAGACCUAGGCGACGAGCCCUAGCUGGCCUGAGAGGAUGAGCAGCCACACUGGAACUGAGACACGGCCCAGACUCCUACGGGAGGCAGCAGUGGGGAAUAUUCCACAAUGGGCGCAAGCCUGAUGCAGCCAUGCCGCGUGUGUGAAGAAGGUCUUCGGGUUGUAAAGCACUUUCAGCGGGGAGGCGUUAUCCGCAGAAGAAGCACCGGCUAACUCCGUGCCAGCAGCCGCGGUAAUUC
rnacentral:rRNA from 1 species